CCACAAGAUCUUUGGUUGUUAUCAUACCAAGAAUAUUUUCAUUCUAAAUUUUUACUAAAAGCACUUGAAUAUAAAACCAUAAUUUAGGCGUUUUGUUAAGCUUUUUAUAUUUCUUUGUUCUAAUUGAUUGGUAGGAAAUAUUCUAAAGAUAGGCAUUGAGGUAGGAUCCAUAGUAAUGCUUCUUAUCAAUUACCACCCUAAUCUCUAUACAAUUUGUUGGAAUUUUUGAUUUAUAUAAUUGUUGUACCAGUUUGUCUAUAUGGUGGAUUCAUUUCAUGAAUUUAUUACUAUCCAUUCAUCUUUCAAAUUUAUUUAUAGUUUCUUUGUUGAUCCAUGUGACAAUUUGUUUAUUUGUUUCUUUGUUGAUCGCUGUAGGGUUUGUUGUUUUGUGGCUUGAUACUUUACAAGACACACCAUGGCGGACUAAAGCUGUGACUGAGAACUCACCAUCAGCAGGGUAUUUGAAGAGGAUUGUAUGGGCAAGAGCAGAGGUGUAUGUGUGUUCUUUUUAUUGUUUCAGAUUUUUUAAUGUUUUUUUUGUUGAUCCAUGUGUUUCUUUGUUUUUAAUUUUUAUUGUUGUCUGUUUGUUGUUUGUUUGAUCAGCCAUUUACAAACUGAGUAAGGUUUGAAUCUGCAAAAAAAUCAUUUUGAUAAACCUAACAGCAACUUGCAACAACACCAGACUGUGGCAGAAAGGUCUUGCCACAAUCAACAUUUAUUAGAGCUAUGAAGACAAACAACAACCAAUGAUAAUAAACAACAAUACUAGAACAUAUGUGAGUCUUAAAUUCUAGAAGUUUUUUAAUUCUUGUGUAUUUUUUUGUUUUUGUUUAUUUUUUUAUGUGUAUGAAAUAUGUUAAUUCUUAAAUGGGAGCCAAUUUUUUAUUUGUCAUCUUUUGGCUUAUAUAUUUUUGUUUAAAAUAUUAAAAAACUUGUACCAUAAGGUUACUUUUUUUAAUUGUGCUACUAUAUAAACAAGUUCUUCAAUUUGCAAGUAUUGUUUCUUAUCAUUGUAGUGCUCAUCUUUAAUAUUGGUGAUGAUACUCUUGCAACACAAUAGACGAAGUUAUCACUAAGAUAAUAAGUGCUAUAUUUAUUACAAAUUUACUGCUAGAAAUAAAGACUUCCUAUGUAGUACAUUGUUCAAUUGAAUCAAUCUUUGAUAAUUCUUUGUCAAAGCCAAAGAAAUCUUUCUUUUGUUGUAGUGAUAUAUAGAGCAUUGAGAGUUAGAAGAUGUGUAGGAAUUCCAAACUAGCAGUAAGAAGAUGAAUGCAUAUAUAUCAUGUAGUUGGAAUAUAUAGGAUAUACGUAAAUAAAUGAGUGCAUAUGUAGUGCAUCAUUAUAUAAAGAAUAUAGAUCAUUUUGGUGCUGAAAGUUCAUCAUUAUUUUGGAACUUAUAUUGGUUGAUUAGACCUUUUAUAAUAAAACUAUAUGGUAUUUAUUAAGAAAAUUAUGCAUUGUAAUAAAAAAAAUAUAUAUAUAUAUAUAUAUUACAUGAUCAUAUCUAUUAUAAUCAAGUAUAUGUAAUAUCUAAGAUAUUUUUCAUAAAUCAUAGUAUUUUCUUGGAAAUAGUAUUUAAACAUAUCCAUUAUAUUCUUCCACAUCUACAAUCAAAGGACCUAAAAAUGUUAUUCUUCUAUAAUGAUGGUUUAUUUUGUUGGUGUGAUUUAAAUUGAAAAGACCAUAAGAAGGUUUCAUUAACAAACUUGAAUACAAAUAUAAAUAAUAGUGAUUUAGAAUUAUAAUUUAUAUAUUUUUAAUUAUGUGAUUUUUAAAAAAUUAUAACAAUAAUCCAUGUAUUAUUAUUAUUAUUAUUAUUAUUAUUAUUAUCAAAAGAUAUUAUUAUUAUUAUCAAAAGAUAUUAUUAUUAUUAAAAUAAUCUUAUUAUUAAAAGAUAUUAUUAUCAAAAGGUAUUAUCAAAUCAUUUUUU
rnacentral:lncRNA from 1 species